GACGAACGCUGGCGGCGUGCUUAACACAUGCAAGUCGAACGAAGAGCGAUGGAAGCUUGCUUCUAUCAAUCUUAGUGGCGAACGGGUGAGUAACGCGUAAUCAACCUGCCCUUCAGAGGGGGACAACAGUUGGAAACGACUGCUAAUACCGCAUACGAUCUAAUCUCGGCAUCGAGGAUAGAUGAAAGGUGGCCUCUACAUGUAAGCUAUCACUGAAGGAGGGGAUUGCGUCUGAUUAGCUAGUUGGAGGGGUAACGGCCCACCAAGGCGAUGAUCAGUGGCCGGUCUGAGAGGAUGAACGGCCACAUUGGGACUGAGACACGGCCCAGACUCCUACGGGAGGCAGCAGUGGGGAAUCUUCCGCAAUGGACGAAAGGCUGACGGAGCAACGCCGCGUGAGUGAUGACGGCCUUCGGGUUGUAAAGCUCUGUUAAUCGGGACGAAAGGCCUUCUUGCGAAUAGUGAGAAGGAUUGACGGUACCGGAAUAGAAAGCCACGGCUAACUACGUG
rnacentral:rRNA from 1 species